CCUACGGGAGGCUGCAGUGAGGAAUAUUGGUCAAUGGCCGGAAGUCUGAACCAGCCAAGCCGCGUGAAGGACGAAGGUGCCAAGCAUUGUAAACUUCUUUUGUCAAGGGACAAAAUCAGGCACGAGAGCCUGACCGAGGGUACUUGAAGAAAAAGCAUCGGCUAACUCCGUGCCAGCAGCCGCGGUAAUACGGAGGGUGCGGGCGUUAAGCGGAUUUACUGGGCGUAAAGGGCUCGUAGGCGGGAUGUUAAGUCAAGGGUGAAAUCCCGGGGCUCAACGGUGGAACUGCCGUUGAAACUGGCAAACUUGAGUGUGUCAGAGGAUAGCGGAAUUCCAGGUGUAGGGGUGAAAUCCGUAGAUAUCUGGAGGAACAUCAGUUGCGAAGGCGACUAUCUGGCACAUAACUGACGCUGAGGAGCGAAAGCGUGGGUAGCAAACAGGAUUAGAUACCCUGGUAGUC
rnacentral:rRNA from 1 species